UACGAAGGGGGCUAGCGUUGCUCGGAAUUACUGGGCGUAAAGCGCACGUAGGCGGCUUUCUAAGUCGGGGGUGAAAUCCUGGAGCUCAACUCCAGAACUGCCUUCGAUACUGGAAAGCUCGAGUCCGGGAGAGGUGAGUGGAACUGCGAGUGUAGAGGUGAAAUGCGUAGAUAUCGGAAGGAACAUCAGUGGCGAAAGCGACUUCCUGGUCCAGCAUCGACGUUCAGGCACGAAAGCGUGGGGAGCAAACAGG
rnacentral:rRNA from 1 species